rnacentral:rRNA from 1 species
AGCAAGUCGAACGAAUGGAUGUCUAGCUUGCUAGACUGAAGUUAGUGGCGAACGGGUGAGUAAUACAUAGGCAAUCUGCCCUGAAGUGUGGGAUAGCUAUUGGAAACGAUAAUUAAUACCGCAUAGGUAGUAAGAAGGCAUCUUCCUACUAUUAAAGAUGCGUCUGCAUCGCUGCAGGAUGAGCUUAUGGUGUAUUAGCUAGUUGGUGAGAUAAAAGCCCACCAAGGCUAUGAUACAUAGCUGGUCUGAGAGGAUGAACAGCCACAUUGGGACUGAGACACGGCCCAGACUCCUACGGGAGGCAGCAGUAAGGAAUUUUCGGCAAUGAGGGGAACCUUGACCGAGCAACGCCGCGUGAACGAGGAAGGUCUUUGGAUCGCAGAGUUCUGUUGUAAGGGAAGAACACUAUAGAUAGGGAAUGAUCUAUAGCUGACGGUACCUUGCCAGAAAGCCACGGCUAACUACGUG